rnacentral:siRNA from 1 species
UGAGAAGUCAAGUGAUGCUGCUA